rnacentral:rRNA from 1 species
CGUCUAGGCGGCUUGGCAAGUCGGAGGUGAAAUCCCUCGGCUCAACCGAGGAACUGCCUCCGAAACUGCCGGACUUGAGUCCCGGAGAGGGUAGCGGAAUUCCCAGUGUAGCGGUGAAAUGCGUAGAUAUUGGGAGGAACACCAGUGGCGAAGGCGGCUACCUGGACGGGUACUGACGCUGAAGCGCGAAAGCGUGGGGAGCAAACA